rnacentral:rRNA from 1 species
CUCUUCCUCUUGGCUUGCUUCGAGAGGGGGAGGCUCGCGUUUUUCAUACAAACACCCUUCUAGUUUAGAAUGUCAUUCAUUUGCGAUCAUACGCAAUCAAUACAACUUUCAACAACGGAUCUCUUGGCUCUCGCAUCGAUGAAGAACGCAGCGAAAUGCGAUACGUAAUGUGAAUUGCAGAAUUCAGUGAAUCAUCGAAUCUUUGAACGCACCUUGCGCCCCUUGGUAUUCCGAGGGGCACACCCGUUUGAGUGUCGUGAAAUUCUCAAACCUUCUUGGUUUCUUGAUCAAGAUGGCUUUGGACUUUGGAGGCAUUUGCUGGCUUUGCGAAAAGCCAGCUCCUCUUGAAUGCAUUAGUGGGGUCCCCUUUGCCGAUCCCCAGGCGUGAUAAGAUGUUUCUACGUCUUGGGAUUUGCUCUGUUCCUUGGGAACCCGCUUCUAACCGUCUCAUGGAAGACAUCGUUCGAGCUUGCUCGACCCACGAACCUUGACCUCAAAUCGGGUGAGACUACCCGCUGAACUUAAGCAUA